UCCGUACUUCAAUUUCAAUUUUUUUUCUUCUUCUUUUGGAUUUUUCUAAUUUUAAUCUUAUUAGCGAGUUUUGCACACAAUUGGGGAUAUAUGGUGCAGUUGCUACAACAUUUAAAUAUGCUUUUGAUUACAAACCAUCCGAUAUCUACUGGUACCCUUCACAACCAGAGGCUUAUUAUUAAUUUGUUAAUUUGACUUUUUCAUGUUAAACUGCAUACCAGAGAUCAAUGGAAACUUUGAUUAAUUGGAUUGAACUGAGAACCAAGCAUUUGAUGAACUAUUAGGUGGAAUUGAAACUCUAGCAAUCACAAAAGUCUUUGGGGAAUUUAGGUCUGGGAAAACACAGCUUGCACACACACUCUGCGUAACCACACAGGUUUGUCUCUCUCCUUGUUUGCAUACUGGAAAUCACGCCAUCAUUGUGCAAAAUUCUGUUGUGGUCUUUCACUAAAAGUUUGGCAUUUGAGUAGUGAAAUGUUCAGUUUACAUUGACUGUGAUUUUCAGUCUUUACAUACCAUUCAGUUUGAUUAACGGAGAAUUAUACACCAUUAAGAAGCAUGUUACUGAAAAAGUGAUAAUUGUGGGUUAUAGACUGCUGCAGUGCCAUGCCAAAUAAAGUUGAAUGCCAAUACUGCUUUUACAACUGUGCAUCCCAUAUCUAGUCUUUCUCAAAUAAUAAACUAGCAGAUACCUAAGAUUUCCAUACUUGAACAUGCUCUUAGUUACAUUUGAUAUGCACAAUCUUUUUGUCAAAUUAAAUUAACUUGGCUCUUUGAUGCAGCAAAUACAUCUAGUCGAUGAAGACAACUGCUGUAGUUCAAUCAGCAACUGAAACUACUAUUGUAUCCUCUUGCACUCCGUGUUUUUGUUUGCUAGUUUGGAAGAAUGUGAUAGCUGUCAUUAUUUUCUUUGAAAUUGAGAACUCCCCUUGUUUUCUUACUAGAGUUUUAUACAAGUUAGAUUUGUUAAGUUUGGGUAUUGAUUUUGGUGGUCCAGUUUUCACUUUAUUGCUGGUUAGCUUUGUUGCAUGUGCUGGUACCAUAGUUUUUCUUUUGGUUGAUUGCACUCCAGGUUUCUUUUCUUUUUUGAAGAUUGGACUUUCAUUUUUUCUUGUUGGUUUUACUUUGGCUUAUUUAGAAUCUGUUAAAGCUUUUGAAGUGUUAACUAAUUGGUUAAGUUUGGUGUUUGAUGACAUGAGUUUUGGAGUUAUUUGACAUUGCCACAAAGAAAGUCUCUUAAUUCCUAAUAUGCUCUGUGACAUUGCCAAGCUUCUUGAGACUGGCCAGGAAGCUACAGCUAGGAUUCGGGUAGAGCAUGUUAUUAGAGAAGAGAAUAUGAUGGCAGCUUAGGAGAUCAUCGGGCUAUUUGCUGAGCUUAUUUCUAUUCGCAGAUUGAGGUUUGCUAUUCUUCUGCUAAUUACUUCUUCUAAAUAUAUUGCAAAGAAACUAGGGCCUUGUGUGCAAUGAAGGAAGUCUCCUUCCUAAUGAUCCUAGAUCUGCAAAAAGUAUAAAGCAAUUAGAGCAGGUCCUUCUGGGUUUUAUUGAAGCCAAAGGCAGCUGAAGGCUAAGAGCCAUCGAGAAUAUGAAUGAUUUUGAUUCAUGUAUAACUAGCUAGGAAUGCUCUUGUCUGGUACAUUAUCUAGUUACUUGAAUGUAUAGAUGUUUGAAUAAUAAUACUUGAAUUAUAUGGAUUAUAGUA